rnacentral:rRNA from 1 species
AGCUGAUCAGCAUGCCGCGUGCGUGAAGAAGGCCUUCUGGUUGUAAACUGCUUUUACCGGGGGGUAAAAAAGGCCUAUACUCCCUCGUGCAGGUACCUGGAGCAUAAGCCACGGCUAACUACCAGCCCGCGGCCGCGGUAAUUAUAAUAA